rnacentral:piRNA from 1 species
CCCCGGAAGCAAAGUGUCCCAAC